UUGCAUUCAUCUUAGGAUGCUUCCCUGUUUUUAUUAUCAAACAUGUGGUCGUUUACAACACACACUUUCUAUAAACAAAGAUGUUUGGCCAACAGUGGUUGGGUUACUUAAGUCUUAGCCAAGUGUGACUGCAUGUUCAAACAAUACUCUAUGCUUAUUUAGGAGUGGUUUGGUCCAAAUGAUACUUUAUGUUUAGCCAAGAGUGGCC
rnacentral:lncRNA from 1 species